CACACACACACACAGAGAGAGAGAGAGAGAGAGAGAGAGAGAGAGAGAGAGAGAGAGCUCCACCUGUCUAAUUUUAGUCUAAAUGCAAAUUUCUGUUCUCAAAAUGGUCUUUUACGUUCUUUUGUUCAGACCACAGCCUGGUUCCAGACCUUGUUUUGCUCAGAACCCACCUUCUUGGAAACACACUAGCCUUCUUGGCUGGCUAUCCCUUCUGGAUGCUGGCUUCUGCUUCUAUCCUGCUCUACUUGAUCUCAUUUGGAUCUGAUGUAAAAGAAGACGGGAGUUCCAGUUAUGUCUUAGAUCUAGAAGCCUCUUCUUUGCCUGUUUCAAUGUUCCUGGAGGAGGGAAGCAGGUCCUGACACUGUCUCUCCAUUUGACCUGCCUUCACUGCAGAAUGCCUGAACCUGUGGAGGAGCUGUAUGGUAGCUUUGCUCACAUCAUCCAAGCCAAACAGAAACUGUCAUCCAGAAUCCUUGCACGGUCCCAGUCUAUGAUGAUCACAAGUGACAUGUCACAUCUGAAAAGCAGCCAAGAAACAGCAUUAUGGUGUCGCUGCUCAAAAGAAACAAAUGUAAGGCCCCGGACACAUGGGUGGCUUUCAUACACUCCACCUGCUCUUGCUUCAUAGAACAUCAUCUGGACUUGAACCUCCUCAAUCUCCAUCCGUGUUAUCUUCAAGUCUCAAGCCGGAACCACAUCUUUAGAUCAUCAAGCUUUUUCUUAGGGGUACUGAUGCCACCAAGGCUGAAAUUUGUAAAGACACAUGCAGAUCCUGUUUAUCCUCUAAGACUUCAGUCCUUCAUGGGUUCUCGAUUACCCUCAGAGUUCUGGUCUGCUCUUGCUCUCCUAUACACCCAGAGUUCCACUCUGACUGCCACUCUAACUUGUCCUAAAUGUGACUUAGGCUCAAAACAAGACCCAAAUAUAGCCACAAACAUUGUGGCCUCCCCCAUCAAUCUCCACAUCAGGUAGGACCUAAGGCAACACUAUAAAUUUUAAAAUGAAAAAAGUAUUUUAUGUAUCAGCUUCCCGGUAGAAGGGCCACAUGUGGUUUGAAAUGAACCAGACUGACUAAACAUACCUUGAGAAACUACAAUUUUAUCUUUAAUUAAUUUAAAUUUAAACUGCCAUUAAUACUGACUAGAUUACUGAGCAAUGCAAGCUUUGCGCUGAAUAAUGAAUUCUGCCUUCUUUAUUGCUAACAGUGAACCUUUCUCUGGCUGAAUCUUGACUAGCCUCGGAAGCAAUCUGCACCUUCAAGGGGAAGAUCCUGGCUACACAAAUCCAAAGUAUGGGGAAUGACAGAGUUGGAGACAGGCCGCACCCAUCGGCAGGAAACCUAGAAACUUCACAUGCAAAAAAACUGGUCCUCUGUAAACUGCCACUGAAAACCAUUCAUAAAAUCCCAUCUCUCCAAUUUUCAGUGAUUUCUGUCUGCUAGAGGGAAGCAACGCGACCCUUGUCUAGUUCACUACAGGGCACAGGUGGUGUUCUUAGAGCUCUCUUCAAAACAAAUUGAUAAGACAUGCAAAGAAAUCAUGAAGCAAAGAUUUGGUGUUUUGAAAGAUGUGAAUAAUACAAAUAGAACCAUACGAGUAUUGAUGUCGGCUUCCUCUGUGUAGUUCUCCUUUCCUUCAUGUGUAUCUUUGCCUUCUUUUGAAGAAUGACCUACAGCAGCUUGUCUUUCAAAGCCCUUGAGUUACAGAUUAAAUGAAAACUAUGAAUUUUAGAUUUCAAGUAAUGUGUAUUUGUCAGAGUUCUUCGGAGAAAUAGAACAGUUUU